AUUGAACGCUGGCGGCAGGCCUAACACAUGCAAGUCGAACGAGUGGCGGACGGGUGAGUAAUGUCUGGGACACUGCCUGAUGGUGGGGGAUAACUACUGGAAAAGGUAGCUAAUACCGCAUACCCUCUGAUGUGCCCCGAUGGGAUGCGCUAGUUGGUGGGGUAACGGCUCACCAAGGCGACGAUCCCUAGCUGGUCGGAGAGGAUGACAAGGCACACUGGAACGGAGACACGGGCCAGACUCCUACGGGAGGCAGGGGUGGGGAAUAUUGCACAAGGGGCGCAAGCCUGAUCCAGCCAUGCCGAGUGUAGGAAGAAGGCCUUCGGGUUGUAAAGUACUUUCAGCGGUGAGGCGUUACCCGCAGAAGAAGCACCGGCUAACUCCGUGCCAGCAGCCGCGGUAAUAC
rnacentral:rRNA from 1 species